GCGGGGGCUCCGGGUUGGACACUUCAAACUCUUGCGUAACUUUGCAGUCUGAGUAAACUUAAUUAAUAAAUUAAAACUUUUAACAACGGAUCUCUUGGUUCUGGCAUCGAUGAAGAACGCAGCGAAAUGCGAUAAGUAAUGUGAAUUGCAGAAUUCAGUGAAUCAUCGAAUCUUUGAACGCACAUUGCGCCCCCUGGUAUUCCGGGGGGCAUGCCUGUUCGAGCGUCAUUUCACCACUCAAGCCUCGCUUGGUAUUGGGCAACGCGGUCCGCCGCGUGCCUCAAAUCGUCCGGCUGGGUCUUCUGUCCCCUAAGCGUUGUGGAAACUAUUCGCUAAAGGGUGUUCGGGAGGCUACGCCGUAAAACAACCCAUUUCUAAGGUUGACCUCGGAUCAGGUAGGGAUACCCGCUGAACUUAAGCCUUAUUCAU
rnacentral:rRNA from 1 species